rnacentral:lncRNA from 1 species
UACGGCACCGUCCUGCUCCUGCUUUUUGUGCAUCUGUCAUUGAAAGCGAUGUAUGUCUGCAGUCUCUUUGGCACCACCAAGACGACUGUGCCACAUUUCAUGAAGUAUGCCGUACUGCACAAAAGCAUGAAUAUAUUCUGCAUGAAGUGCCCAAUGGAACAGCACAGAAAAGUGUUCCUAGAGUUCCUUCUCUGAGCUAGUGCUACGAGAUACCAAGGACGAAAAUAGGACUGACGAGAAAACGAAGAUUCCAAAAGGAUUUAUAUGUUUUUGCGUCAUGGAAGCCCUAAGGUGUCAUAGUGCCCUGAGGUGGUGCUGCAUCUCGAGCUACCAGAAGGCAAGUACAAGUGAAGAUAAUGUCGGAGACGUGCCGU